UGAGUACGAGAUGCUACGGCGUCGAAGCAGUCUAGGUCAUACUUCCAAGAAAAGCUUGCACUGUCAUAAACAAAGAAUGCCUGUACCAUAACCGACACAGGUGGGUAGGUAGAGUAUACUAAGGGGCGCGAGAUAACUCUCUCUAAGGAACUCGGCAAAAUGACUCCGUAACUUCGGGAGAAGGAGUGCCUUAUUUUUAAGGUUGCAAUAACAAGAUCCAAGCAACUGUUUACCAAAAACACAGGUCUCCGCUAAGUCGUAAGACGAUGUAUGGGGGCUGACGCCUGCCCAGUGCCAGAAGGUUAAAGAAGUUGGUUAGCAUUCGCGAAGCUGAUAACUGAAGCCCUGGUGAACGGCGGCCGUAACGAUAACGGUCCUAAGGUAGCGAAAUUCCUUGUCGGGUAAGUUCCGACCCGCACGAAAGGCGUAAUGAUUUGGAUACUGUCUCGGAGAGGGGCUCGGUGAAAUAGACUUGUCUGUGAAGAUGCGGACUACCUGCACCUGGACAGAAAGACCCUAUGAAGCUUUACUGUAACUUGAGAUUGAAAUUGGACUUUAUUUGCGCAGUAUAGGUGGGAGGCGUUGAGAAUAAUCUUGCGGGAUUAUCGGAGCCAUCAGUGAGAUACCACUCUUGUAAUGUUAGAUUUCUAACUUUGUAUCAUUAUCUGGUCAAAGAACAGUUUCAGGCGGGCAGUUUGACUGGGGCGGUCGCCUCCCAAAGGGUAACGGAGGCGCACAAAGGUUUCCUCUGAACGGGUAGAAAUCGUAUCUAGAGUGUAAAGGCAUAAGGAAGCUUGACUGUGAGACCUACAAGUCGAGCAGGGACGAAAGUCGGUCUUAGUGAUCUGACGGUGCUGAGUGGAAAGGCCGUCACUCAACGGAUAAAAGUUACUCUAGGAUAACAGGCUGAUCUCCCCCAAGAGUUCACAUCGACGGGGAGGUUUGGCACCUCGAUGUCGGCUCAUCGCAUCCUGGGGCGGUAGUACGUCCCAAGGGUUGGGCUGUUCGCCCAUGAAAGCGGUACGCGAGCUGGGUUCAGAGCGUCGUGAGACAGUUCGGUCCAUAUCCGGUGUAGGCGUUAGAAUAUUGAAAGGAGCCUUCUCUAGUACGAGAGGACCGAGAAGGACAUACCUCUGGUGUGCCAGUUAUCGUGCCAACGGUAAACGCUGGGUAGCUAUGUAUGGAGUGGAUAACCGCUGAGAGCAUCUAAGUGGGAAGCCCACCUUAAGAUAAGUAUUCUCAUG
rnacentral:rRNA from 1 species